rnacentral:rRNA from 1 species
AUUCCUACGGGAGGCAGCAGUGAGGAAUAUUGCGCAAUGGGCGAAAGCCUGACGCAGCGACGCCGCGUGGAGGAUGAAGGAUUUCGGUCUGUAAACUCCUGUCAGUAGGGAAGAGAAUGGACGGCACCUGUAGAGGAAGUUUACCCUGGCUCAGUGCCAGCAGCCGCGGUAAUAAU